rnacentral:rRNA from 1 species
UACGUAGGGGGCGAGCGUUGUCCGGAUUUACUGGGCGUAAAGAGCGCGUAGGCGGAAAUUUAAGCGUGGCCUGAAAGCCCCCGGCUCAACCGGGGAGUGCGGCUGCGAACUGGGUUUCUUGAGGACGAUAGAGGAGAGUGGAAUUCCUGGUGUAGCGGUGAAAUGCGUAGAUAUCAGGAGGAACACCCGAGGCGAAGGCGGCUCUCUGGGUCGUACCUGACGCUGAGGCGCGAAAGCGUGGGGAGCGAGCAGG